GGAGACUGUGCAGCGUGACUGGCCGCUUGUUUUAUCCCAGACUCUUUUCCAGGGUCUUACUUCUGUCAUCCAGACUGGAGUGCAGCAGUGCGAUCUCAGCUCACUGCAACCUCCACCUCCCAGGUUUAAGCGACUCUCCUGCCUCAGCCUCCACAAUAACUGGGACCACAGGUGUGUGCCACCACACCUGGCUAAUUUUUGUAUUUUUUUUAUGGAGACAGAGUUUUACUGUGUUGGCCAGGGUGGUCUCGAACUUCUAACGUCAAAUGAUCCACCUGCCUCGGCCUCCCAAAGUACUGGGAUUACAGCCCACAUUUCUAAAAUAGGAAAAAUCCUGAACUGAGAAACACAUUGGUUCCAAGGGUUUCAGAUAAAGGAAUGUGAGAAUUGUACUAGCAUUAUAAAACAGGUUCUAUGCAAAGGACAUAUACUGUUGUUUCCAUGCAUUGUGUCAAUGCAAUCAAACAAAGGUUUUUUGCUUAUAGAGAAGCACAUUCAGUCUGUGGGAUGGUAUAUUUGAGUGAAUUUUUGCUAUCUACUCUCUCUUGCAUCUUGUUUUGAGUCAUAAAGGAAUUGUGUAGUAUUUUAUGCCACUUGAAAACUCGAAAGACUUCAACAGUUGUGUUAUGUGCAAAUCAGAUAAGGCUCUAAUAGGCUUUAUCUUGCUUGUGUAUAGUACCUGUUUGCAAACUAAAGGCACAUUUUCACUCCAUGCCAGUAGGAAUCCUCUGAGGCAUUAUUUUUUGGGCCCCUCCCACUUUAUGUACUGAAAGCAGAAUGGAUGAAAUGCCUUGACACAUAACUUACUUAUCUUUUCUUACUCAACAUUCUAAUGUGUUCUCACUGGUAAAGGAAUGCAGAUUUUUUGAAGGAUCUGGAGAAGCCAGACUCUGCUGGUAUUCAGACAAUUACUCUAGAUAGAGAGAGGAAGUCCUCUUGUUGUGAGUCCAGUGGCUUGGUGGUUCGUAUCCUGGAUUCCUGGUAGUCCAUAGGAGCAACAGGGACUAGAAAUGGCUUUGUUUCAAAGUUCUCUGCUUAUUCUAGAGAGGAAAUAAAAAUAUCACUUAAUAGUAUUUAGAGACCAGUGUGAACUAAGAUACUGGCUUUAAACCAAAAUGGCCAGCUCUGUUGAUCAUAUAGAUUUGAAUGUGGCUAACAUCAUUCAGUGACGUACUGAGCACCUACCAAAUGUAGGGCAUUGCGCUGUACUCUGGGACACAAAGGUAACUCAAACUUUUUUUUUUUUGAGGGGAAAGAGAGAAUGUGAAAUUUAAUAUGAAAGUUGAGACUGAUAUGAAAUGAAAGACAUGGUUGCCAUAGGAGAGGCAUAGAUAAAAGUACCAUUGCUUGCCCUUUAGAGAUGAAUGAAAUUUGUUCUUGCUGGGUGAUUAGGAGAGGCUUCAUAGAGGAGGUAGCAUUUGAGUGGACCUUGAAGUUUAUGUGGCUACAAAUUCCUUUUCCUAUAAAAUGCUAUUGUCAGGAAAUACAAAUAGGAAAUAUCUGGAGUUUGAGUCUCAUCCACUAGGUAGCUCUGCAGCAGUGAAGUCUAUAGGAUGACUUUUAAUCUGCAAAAUGGGGAUUGACCUGGAGGAUUGGUAAGGUUUUUUUUUUUUGCAGCUACUGAAACUCUGUGAUACUGCAAAUAAACUAUGGUCUUAGGAGAAUUUCAUGGCACUCUUAUUAUUUAUUCCUUCACAAUGUACAAAAUAAAUUCAUUGCUUUAGUUGAAAAUCAGAAGGCACCUGGGAAUCAAUUUGUCCUUAAAACAAAAUGGCUAUUUAUUAAAUAUGUGCAAUUCUUUGUUUAUUAAUUAUACCUCAAUAAACCUGUUUU
rnacentral:lncRNA from 1 species